CAUGUAACCAUCCAUUUCCAGGACUUUUUUUUAAAAUCUCCCCACCCUGAAACUCUGUAACUCAUUAAACAAUAACUUCUUGAGUUCAAAUCCUGGGCCAACACCUAUGGCUGAGUGACUCUGGGCAGUUUUUUUUCCCUCUCUGGGCCUCUGUUUUCUCACUGUAAAUUGAAAGCAAGAGUCCAUAGCUCUCAGAUUUGGACUAACAAUUGCAUGAGGUGGUACAGGUCAUAUGCCCAACUUCUUCCUUGGCGUACUGUAGGUUCUUGAAAAAUAGCUCCUAUUGUCAUGUGAAAUCGACUAGAUAUCCCAUCCUGCUUUGCUGUGGUUUACCUGACAUCCGGGUCCUACACAUGGCAGGGGGUGGGUGACAUGUCAUUGCUUGCUGGGAUCCAGAGCAGAGGGAAGGUGGAGUCUAGAGAGCUUCCUAGUGGACGAGACCUUCACCCAUGCCACUCUUCCAGCUAUUCUUUUAGAUGGAAGUUCCAGGCCCCUCCCUGCUCACCCCCUGCCCCAAUCCAGGGCCCAGGCCAGCCCUUGGGACUCUUGGGAGUGACCCAUUUUUCAGCUACGGUCAGUGCCAGCCUGCCCGCUGGGGCUGCCAGUUGCAAUGUGCAUGGUAGCGAAUGGAUUGAGGUCAUGGAGCAGAUGGCAGUAACUUUCAGUUGAGAUCUGCCAGCCUGUGUUGGAACCAGUGACCCGGAGAUAUAAAACUCCAUGAGAGGGACUUUCCUAGUGGUCCAGUGGUUAAGAAUCCACCUUGCAAUGCAGGAGACUCGGGUUCGAUCCCUGGCUGGGGAACUAAGGUCCCACGUGCCUUGGAGGAAUGAAGCCCCCAUGGUGCAACUACUGAAGCCAAAGAGCCACGACUAGAGAGACCAUGUACCCCAGGGAAAGAUCUCACACGGUGCAAUGAAGAUCCUGCAUGCCGCAACUAAGACCACUGCAACCAAAUACAUAAAUAUAAAAAAAUAAAGUAAAAUAAAAUUCCAUGAGAUCAA